UGGGGAAUAUUGCACAAUGGGCGAAAGCCUGAUGCAGCAACGCCGCGUGAGUGAUGAAGGCCUUCGGGUUGUAAAGCUCUGUCUUUUGGGACGAUAAUGACGGUACCAAAGGAGGAAGCCACGGCUAACUACGUGCCAGCAGCCGCGGUAAUACGUAGGUGGCAAGCGUUGUCCGGAUUUACUGGGCGUAAAGGAUGCGUAGGCGGAUUUUUAAGUGAGAUGUGAAAUACCCGGGCUUAACUUGGGUGCUGCAUUUCAAACUGGGAAUCUAGAGUGCGGGAGAGGAGAAUGGAAUUCCUAGUGUAGCGGUGAAAUGCGUAGAGAUUAGGAAGAACACCAGUGGCGAAGGCGAUUCUCUGGACCGUAACUGACGCUGAGGCAUGAAAGCGUGGGUAGCAAACAGGAUUAGAUACCCUGGUAGUCCACGCCGUAAACGAUGAGUACUAGGUGUAGGAGGUAUCGACCCCUUCUGUGCCGCAGUUAACACAAUCAAGUACUCCGCCUGGGAAGUACGAUCGCAAGAUUAAAACUUAAAUGAAUUGACGGGGUCAUAGCUGUUUUCCU
rnacentral:rRNA from 1 species